rnacentral:lncRNA from 1 species
UAGAGUGAUCGUGAGCAAAACAGCCAGCUUUAAUCUCAAAGACUUCAAGGUGAGCAGUACGCACUCUGUUAUCAUCAGAAGUCACCAAACUCGGCGUAUGAACACGAAAUCUGCAGCAUCAUCAGUCAUUUCAUCGGAUGAAUACAGAUUUUGGCAAAAGACAAAAGUCAACAAUGUGGUCCAGCAAUAAGAUUUUGAUCAAGGGUUUGCCUACCUUAAGUGUUUAACGUAAGAUAUAGUCCUCUCACACAAUUAAGAAGUGGGUUCUAGUGAAAUAUAUUAUUGUAGAGAGGGUUGUACCUUACAUUAAACGUAAGAUAGCAGUUCCCUUUCGCCUCAAAUUUAUAUUACGUAUUAAUAUAUAUUCUUCUAAAUACAUUAACUUAAAAAUUUAAAAUUUAAAAUUUUAUUUUUGUAAAGAAAAACUCCCACAAUUUAGUCCAAAUGUAUCUCAUCUUUCUUGAAAAAUAUAAACUAAAACUCAUGAAUUUGUGAUAAUUUACGCUUAGUUUAUAUUAAUUUUCAUCUUUAAUAAAAGAAAUAUAUUGAAAAUUAACCUCUAAUGCCGUAUACAAAGCUACCACGCUACUAUGAUAUGGCCUUUGGUGCCACCACCUCAAUCAUCAGCUCAGAGUCCAUAGACAUGGCCAUACCACAACAUCCCACCACUUAGUCAAUCAAUUUGUAAAGACUUAAUGUCUUAUUGAAAGAGAUAUUAUCAUUUUACCACUAAAAUUAUUCUGACAUAUCAUAUCAAUAAUGUCAAUAUCAUGAUUUGUUGAAAAGUACAUUUUACCAACAAAUAUUUGUGCUGUUAUCCAUUUACCACCAUUCUAUUAAAAAAAACGUUAAUGUUUAACUGAAAAUGAGUUAAAAGUCGAUUUUGCCCUGGGAGAAUAAAAGACAAUUUUACCUUUUGAAAAGAAAGAAACAAUGAACAAAAAUAAGAUUUAGAAAAUAACUGAAAAUUGUAAUUAAUAAAAAAUAAUGAACAAUAUACAAAAUUACGAUAAAC